CCUACGGGUGGCAGCAGUGGGGGAUAUUGGACAAUGGGGGGAACCCUGAUCCAGCGACGCCGCGUGAGUGAAGAAGUAUUUCGGUAUGUAAAGCUCUGUCAGCAGGGAAGAAAGAAAUGACGGUACCUGACCAAGAAGCCCCGGCUAACUACGUGCCAGCAGCCGCGGUAAUACGUAGGGGGCAAGCGUUAUCAGGAUAUAUGGGGUUUAAAGGGUGCGUAGGCUGGGAGGUAAGUCAGCGGUGAAAUGCCCCCGCUCAACGGGGUAAAGUGCCAUUGAUACUGGCUUGCUUGAAUGCGGAUGCGGUGGGAGGAAUGUGUGGUGUAGCGGUGAAAUGCAUAGAUAUCACACAGAACACCGAUUGCGAAGGCAUCUCACGAAUCCGCCAUUGACACUGAUGCACGAAAGCGUGGGUAUCAAACAGGAUUAGAUACCCCUGUAGUC
rnacentral:rRNA from 1 species